CCUACGGGUGGCAGCAGUGAGGAAUAUUGGUCAAUGGACGAGAGUCUGAACCAGCCAAGUAGCGUGAAGGAUGACUGCCCUAUGGGUUGUAAACUUCUUUUAUACGGGAAUAAAAUGCUCCACGUGUGGGAUUUUGUAUGUACCAUAUGAAUAAGGAUCGGCUAAUUCCGUGCCAGCAGCCGCGGUAAUACGGAGGGCCCGAGCGUUAUCCGGAUUUAUUGGGCUUAAAGGGAGCGUAGGGGGGUGGUUAAGUCAGUGGGGAAAUCUCUGGGCUCAACCGUGCAAUUGCAGUUGAAACUGGAAGCCUGGAGUACAGUAGAGGUAGGCGGAAUUCGUGGUGUAGCGGUGAAAUGCAUAGAUAUCACGAGGAACGCCGAUUGCGAAGGCAGCUGGCUGGACUGCAACUGACGCUGAGGCUCGAAGGUGUGGGUAUCAAACAGGAUUAGAUACCCCAGUAGUC
rnacentral:rRNA from 1 species